UCACUCUUGGAUGGACCUGCGGUGCAUUAGCUAGUUGGUAAGGUAACGGCUUACCAAGGCAAUGAUGCAUAGCCGAGUUGAGAGACUGAUCGGCCACAUUGGGACUGAGACACGGCCCAAACUCCUACGGGAGGCAGCAGUAGGGAAUCUUCCACAAUGGACGAAAGUCUGAUGGAGCAACGCCGCGUGAGUGAAGAAGGGUUUCGGCUCGUAAAGCUCUGUUGGUAGUGAAGAAAGAUAGAGGUAGUAACUGGCCUUUAUUUGACGGUAAUUACUUAGAAAGUCACGGCUAACUACGUGCCAGCAGCCGCGGUAAUACGUAGGUGGCAAGCGUUGUCCGGAUUUAUUGGGCGUAAAGCGAGUGCAGGCGGUUCAAUAAGUCUGAU
rnacentral:rRNA from 3 species